ensembl:lncRNA
AUCUCUUGCUGGAGAUUCCUGCCUACCUGAGGCCCUCUGAAGCAAUGAAGGAGGGAUGUCCAUCCUGUUGAUGGGAACUGCAAAUAAAGGCUCGAGGCACCCACUCUCCUGCAGGCUUCAAAGGUCCAUGGGCCGUACAAACAGCAGGAAAAAAGCAGUUCCAGCUUAUGAACGCACCCGUAGUGCUGCUCCGUUGUUCUCCUUGAUUGAUGACAAGUGUUUUGGACAUCAAUAUUGCGGCUCCUCAGUUCUGCUAAUGUUGUGAAUAAGUACCCGCAGAAAACAAAACAGAGACCUAGUUGGGAACAGAUGCCCUAAUUCUAAUGGAGGAGCUUCCCACCAGCUCCUUUAGAGCCUGCUUCUUUAAAGCCUGCUUCUGAUGUGGGCUUGCUGCUCUCUCCGUAUGCUUUGCAGCUCCUCUGCACACCCCACAUCACAGACACACAUUUUUAAUUACCCCACCUUCCCUUCGUCCGGAUUGCUGCCACCCCUCAGCUACACUCUAUGAGGGUUUCAAGGAGCUGGUUUACGCAUGGGAUGUAUGCAUGGGAUGUCAGGCAUACCUUCCGAAGAUGCCCACCAUAUGGUGCUGGGCUCCAUCUCUGAGGGCUGUGUUGUUUCCUCCAUGCUGGUUUCAAAAGGCACCGUCUCCACUUAAGCAAAAUGUGGUUUUCCUUGGCAGUGGUGCAGCAGCUCUCAGCCUGAAAGCAGGGAGCUCUGCCACCGAGCAGACAAGACUUAUUUAUCCUCACAGUCCCCUCAUCGCAUGUGACGAUUGCCACGAUAAGACAGUCCUAUGCAAAUGGCCAUAAUUAUCUGCUAAAAGUACGUAUUAUUCAGUAACACAGCCACGAGAGAAGGCGUCACAUGGGUGCAGUUACAUCUGUGCAGGAAAGCAGUACGGAUUUAUUACUGAGCUGCCGUAGAGGAGGCUUCCAUUUAAACAGACGUAGUUACAACUCAUGUAACUAAGUUGUGUAGCACUGAGCCUGCAGCAGCAGGGCCUGCAGAGGGCUGGUGCUGCUCCACGCCAUGCCCAGCUGACCCUCAUUUACAAAUUACCUUAGGAUGUGCAGCUUCUUUGGCUCUGGGAAGUGGGCAUUCAUUGGUUCCAUAUAAAUAAAUCUCUACUGAACAAGUUGUAGCAUCUCACUCAGAGCAGAGAAAUGACAUUGAGUGAGCAAUAAACGUGGUGACCUGAGUGUGAUGUCUGUAUCAGGAUAAUAAGGGUUGUCCUCCUGCUGAAUGAAUGGCCUUGCCCUCUGGAGCCAAACUUUCGUUGUGUACGAAGACGUGGGGGAAUCCUAAUAAAGAGACGACUGGUAAAUGUUCAGUACGUUUAAUACUUCGCUCCCUCAUUUGGAGAACAAAGAGUCGCCUGUUUCAUACUUCUGCUUUGGACAAAAGCAGGGCACGGAAACGUGUAAUCUGCAUUUUCUGAAUAGUCGAGAUCUACAAAGAUGAUUUCAUGUCUCUCGCUCUGUUAUGUUGGCACGCUUCCAAAACCUGACCAAAAAAACCCCCAACAACCCUCAAGUUGUCUUCCCCCCCAGCCUAAUAUUCAUAACCAGAAUCAAAACCACAGGCAGUUCUGUCAUUCUGGCGAUGAAAUUUGACUAAUACCAGCACAGGACUCCCACCAUAGCAUGUAAAAUAUAGAUGGCUAUAAAAUUACUAUUGCUAUCUCCAGAGAGCUGCUCCGAUAAACUGAUGAAUAUGUAAACGUUUCUGACAUCCAAUGGGAAACUCAGCUGUAAGAGGAGAAUAAAAGGAUGGGAGUCUGAUUCUCCUCGGGAGCUGCUCCAGCUAAUGGGAUGAGGAACCUCCCACUGUGAGCCGUGUUGUUCCCAUCAUGUGGAACCACUCUGCCAGAUCCUUUCAUUUCGUAGCCUCAGAAAAUUAGCUGCAAAAUGGUUUUUCCUGAUGGUUUUGACAAUGAGAUGUGAUUUUCUUCAUUCUGUCAUGACCGGACCGGCAGACUUACUGUAAAUAAUUCAUGCAAAGCCAUAUAAUUUGUGACCGUACAUUUCUGAUCUGGAAAUGUGCACCUCUAACAUUGGGUACGUGCAUAAAUAUUCAUCCCGGUGCAUCCUGCUGGCCAGUCCUAG